rnacentral:rRNA from 1 species
UACGUAGGGUGCGAGCGUUGUCCGGAAUUAUUGGGCGUAAAGGGCUCGUAGGCGGUUUGUCGCGUCUGCUGUGAAAAUCCGGGGCUCAACCCCGGACUUGCAGUGGGUACGGGCAGACUAGAGUGUGGUAGGGGAGACUGGAAUUCCUGGUGUAGCGGUGGAAUGCGCAGAUAUCAGGAGGAACACCGAUGGCGAAGGCAGGUCUCUGGGCCACUACUGACGCUGAGAAGCGAAAGCGUGGGGAGCAAACAGG